UACGAAGGGAGCUAGCGUUGUUCGGAAUCACUGGGCGUAAAGCGCACGUAGGCGGAUUUGCCAGUCAGGGGUGAAAUCCCGGGGCUCAACCUCGGAACUGCCUUUGAUACAGCAAGUCUUGAGUUCGAGAGAGGUGGGUGGAAUUCCUAGUGUAGAGGUGAAAUUCGUAGAUAUCAGGAGGAACACCGGUGGCGAAAGCGGCCCACUGGCCCGAUACUGACGCUCAUGUUCGAAAGCGUGGGGAGCAAACAGG
rnacentral:rRNA from 1 species